CCACUCGGAGACGCCGAGAUCAUCUCCCACGUCAUAGCCGGCCUCGACAUCGACUACAACCCUAUGAUCUCGGCUCUGGCUGCGCGGGUCGAACCUGUUACGGUUCAGGAGUUGUAUAGUCAACUCCUGAGCUUUGACG
rnacentral:snoRNA from 1 species